CAACCAACAGCCAUGAGAAAUCCAACAAGAAGAAAAAGAAAGGAAACAAAAUACGCAGGCAGGCGGAUAAACAAGGGGCAGGGCGGCGUUAUUACUGCGCUGGAGGAGCUCGGGGAGGAGGAAGGUGGCGCCGUCCCUGCCGUGGCGGUACCCGCCCGCGCCCUGCUCCGCCCAGCUGCCGCUGCUGCUGCAAACGCAAUGCGAACCACGGGCGCCGCACAAGGCAGGCAACAACACGUUAGUGGUAGUGAGCCAGCCGGACGCGCCGGUCCCAAGGGAGACAACAACAGACAAAACGCUCGCGCCGCAAAGCGAACAAGGAAGGAGGCAGGCAGG
rnacentral:misc_RNA from 1 species